UUAGAGUUUGAUCCUGGCUCAGGACGAACGCUGGCGGCGUGCCUAAUACAUGCAAGUCGAGCGAGCUUGCCUAGAUGAUUUUAGUGCUUGCACUAAAUGAAACUAGAUACAAGCGAGCGGCGGACGGGUGAGUAACACGUGGGUAACCUGCCCAAGAGACUGGGAUAACACCUGGAAACAGAUGCUAAUACCGGAUAACAACACUAGACGCAUGUCUAGAGUUUGAAAGAUGGUUCUGCUAUCACUCUUGGAUGGAUCUGCGGUGCAUUGGCUAGUUGGUAAGGUAACGGCUUACCAAGGCAAUGAUGCAUAGCCGGGUUGAGAGACUGAUCGGCCACAUUGGGACUGAGACACGGCCCAAACUCCUACGGGAGGCAGCAGUAGGGAAUCUUCCACAAUGGACGAAAGUCUGAUGGAGCAACGCCGCGUGAGUGAAGAAGGGUUUCGGCUCGUAAAGCUCUGUUGGUAGUGAAGAAAGAUAGAGGUAGUAACUGGCCUUUAUUUGACGGUAAUUACUUAGAAAGUCACGGCUAACUACGUGCCAGCAGCCGCGGUAAUACGUAGGUGGCAAGCGUUGUCCGGAUUUAUUGGGCGUAAAGCGAGUGCAGGCGGUUCAAUAAGUCUGAUGUGAAAGCCUUCGGCUCAACCGGAGAAUUGCAUCAGAAACUGUUGAACUUGAGUGCAGAAGAGGAGAGUGGAACUCCAUGUGUAGCGGUGGAAUGCGUAGAUAUAUGGAAGAACACCAGUGGCGAAGGCGGCUCUCAGGUCUGCAACUGACGCUGAGGCUCGAAAGCAUGGGUAGCAAACAGGAUUAGAUACCCUGGUAGUCCACGCCGUAAACGAUGAUUACUAGGUGUCGGGGGACCAAGGUCCUCCGGUGCCGGCGCGAACGCAUUAAGUAAUCCACCUGGGGAGUACGUUCGCAAGAAUGAAACUCAAAGGAAUUGACGGGGACCCGCACAAGCGGUGGAGCAUGUGGUUUAAUUCGAAGCAACGCGAAGAACCUUACCUGGUCUUGACAUCCGGACGCCGUAUGGGCAAAGCCAUAUUUCCUUCGGGACGUCCGAGACAGGUGAUGCAUGGUUGUUGUCAGCUCGUGUCGUGAGAUGUUGGGUUAAGUCCCGCAACGAGCGCAACCCCUGUUUCCAGUAGCCAGCAUAUAAAGAUGGGCACUCUGGAGAGACUGCCCGGGAUAACCGGGAGGAAGGCGGGGAUGACGUCAAAUCAUCAUGCCCCUUAUGAUCAGGGCUACACACGUGCUACAAUGGCGUAAACAAAGGGAAGCGAGACGGUGACGUUGAGCAAAUCCCAGAAAUAACGUCCCAGUUCGGAUUGUAGUCUGCAACCCGACUACAUGAAGCUGGAAUCGCUAGUAAUCGCGAAUCAGAAUGUCACGGUGAAUACGUUCCCGGGUCUUGCACACACCGCCCGUCA
rnacentral:rRNA from 1 species